GGCUCCAUAGUGUAGUGGUUAGCACGUCUGCUUUACAUGCAGAAGGUCCUGGGUUCGCCCCCCGGGUGCACCU
rnacentral:tRNA from 1 species